rnacentral:rRNA from 1 species
GCCCUAGUAACGGCGAGUGAAGCGGCAACAGCUCAAAUUUGAAAUCUGGCGCAAGCCCGAGUUGUAAUUUGUAGAGGAUGCUUCUAGGUAGCGACCGGUCUAAGUUCCUUGGAACAGGACGUCAUAGAGGGUGAGAAUCCCGUAUGUGACCGGCCCGCACCUUCUACGUAGCUCCUUCGACGAGUCGAGUUGUUUGGGAAUGCAGCUCUAAAUGGGAGGUAAAUUUCUUCUAAAGCUAAAUACCGGCCAGAGACCGAUAGCGCACAAGUAGAGUGAUCGAAAGAUGAAAAGCACUUUGGAAAGAGAGUUAAAAAGCACGUGAAAUUGUUGAAAGGGAAGCGCUUACAACCAGACUUCUGGGCGGUGUUCCGCCGGUCUUCUGACCGGUCUACUCGCCGUCCCGAGGCCAACAUCAUCUGGGACCGCUGGAUAAGACCUCAGGAAUGUAGCUUCCCUCGGGAAGUGUUAUAGCCUGUGGUGAUGCAGCGCGUCUCGGGUGAGGUCCGCGCUUCGGCAAGGAUGUUGGCGUAAUGGUUGUCAGCGGCCCGUCUUGAAACACGGACCAAGGAGUCUAACAUCUAUGCGAGUGUUCGGGUGUCAAACCCCUACGCGUAAUGAAAGUGAACGGAGGUGGGAAGCGCAAGCUGCACCAUCGACCGAUCCUGAUGUCCUCGGAUGGAUUUGAGUAAGAGCAUAGCUGUUGGGACCCGAAAGAUGGUGAACUAUGCCUGAAUAGGGUGAAGCCAGAGGAAACUCUGGUGGAGGCUCGCAGCGGUUCUGACGUGCAAAUCGAUCGUCAAAUUUGGGUAUAGGGGCGAAAGACUAAUC